rnacentral:rRNA from 1 species
AUGGCUCAGAUUGAACGCUGGCGGCAGGCUUAAUACAUGCAAGUCGAACGGUAACAGCAGGAAGCUU